GAUAAACGCUGGCGGCGUGCAUAACACAUGCAAGUCGAACGAUGAAGAUUAAAAGAUUUCUUCGGAAUGAACUUAAUUGGAUUAGUGGCGGACGGGUGAGUAACGCGUGAGUAACCUGCCUUGUACAAGGGGAUAGCCGUUGGAAACGACGAAUAAUACCCUAUGACAUCAAAUAAUCGCAUGAUAAUUUGAUCAAAGAUUUAUCGGUAUAAGAUGGACUCGCGUCUGAUUAGCUAGUUGGUAGAGUAAAAGCCUACCAAGGCAACGAUCAGUAGCCGGCUUGAGAGAGUGUACGGCCACAUUGGGACUGAGACACGGCCCAGACUCCUACGGGAGGCAGCAGUGGGGAAUUUUGCACAAUGGGGGAAACCCUGAUGCAGCGACGCCGCGUGAUUUAGAAGGCCUUCGGGUUGUAAAAAUCUUUUAUAUGGGAAGAAAAUGACAGUACCAUACGAAUAAGGACCGGCUAAUUACGUG
rnacentral:rRNA from 1 species